CACCUCGUUAUAGGUUUAAUUAAACUUUAGCUCGCUGGAGAGAGUGAGGGGAUCAGAAUUCCUGGGUACACACCCAAGAGUGGGAUGCACAUCUGAGAGAGCUGCUGUACCACAAAGGUGCCAAUGGCUGUGCAAGCAUCCCAGGCCAGAGCACUCUGGUGGUGCUGGGUCUCAGGUGUGAGCAAUCCACACAUGCACUAUUCAAUAAUCUCAGCAAAUUGCAGCACUGUCAGGCUCAGAGUUAAUCCCUUCCUUUCAGGUAAAUGUGCUUGUGGCCCUGAUUUUUCACAGGUUGUGAGGGAUGCUGCUCAUAAUUUAUCCUGGGGGCUUGACAGGCGUUUUGGUAGAUUGUGCCUCUUGCAGAAAGACCUGAACAAAAUCAAUUGUGUUAGUCUGAAAAAUGCUGCACGAAAGAAUGAAUUCGUAUAUCUGAGCUUAAAGGUGAGCUGGUGAGUUGUCAAGUAGAAAAGAGAAGUCUUUUUCUUUUUUCUUUUUUUUCUUUUUAAUGUAGAAAAAUAGAAAAUAAGAAUGCUAAAGAACAUCCUCAGUUUUAUUUUCUAAAUAUUACUUUUUUUGCCUCAUUUAUUGUGAUCAGUUGUAGCAGGCUUCAGGUAGGGAAACAUUGUGUGAUUCCCCUUGUGCUCACAGGUGGAUCCGGGGAAUGGUUUCCUACAAAAUAUAGCAGGGAAGAUUCUGACCAUGCUGAAGUCAGUGAGAACAUUGGCAGCAAGUUCAGACAGCCUGGGGCUUUUGCCAGAGUACUCUCUGCAUCCUCCAGCCCCCUUUACGCUCCUUGUGCAUGGUCACGUCUGUAGCUGUUGGCACAACUACAGCAGCAUCCUUCAUCUACAAGGGUCCCAGAUGUUUUACUGAUCUCUAUUGAGUAUAAGAACAUCUCUACCACUGCAAUGCAGCUCCCUUCGUGGCAUUUCAGCUUAUUAGUUUUCAGCACCAUCAUACUAAGCAUGGGCAACUCUCCCAUUAAAACUUUAUGACACCUGUAGGUAAGAGAAAUUAGCUGGCACCAGUACCAAUAAGAUAAUGUAACAUCGUGAGGUGCAAAAUAUGUAGCUCAGUCCUGAAAUUUGCUCUCAGUCUGCAGGGCCUGAUCCUAAAGAGUAUUUCAAUGGACAUUCACUUGCUUAUGAUCCUAAAGAGUAUUUCAAUGGACAUUCACUUGCUUAUGCAUUUUGGGAUAAAAAGCUGCUUGUGAUUAACCUUUGUGUUGGCUUUGUGAGGUUGGUGCUCCCUGUUUUUUUUUCCUUUUCUGUUUCCUGCUGGAAGAAGAGAAAGUCCAUCUCCUCUGGGCCCUUGAUUGGCUGAGACUGUUGAGAUUUUUUGUUUGGUUGGUUAGUUGGAGUUAAAUAAAUAAACAAAAAGGCAGAGGCAGCAAAUUCGUCUUAGAAAAAUAAAUUAUAUUUUGCAUGAUCCAAAUAGAAAAAUGAAACCACAAACUCUAAGGAGAGUUUCUUGAUCUCACAGGAAUAAGGAGUUAAAAGGACUUUCUGACUCACAGUGUCCUGUUGUUUGCUACCAGGUAUUAGUAAGACAGAGCUAUUGCAGUCAUAUCUUCUAUUUUCCAGAUUCUGUUUCCUUUCAGGUCUGCCUGCUGUUGGGAUGCUGAAGCCAGGAUCUGUAUGUGACAGCAUGUAGCAACAGAAAGCCAUGACAAAUCUCUGAGUACCUUAUUACCAAUCCAAAAUUCGUAUCUUUGCCAACCUCAACUUUUCCUGCAAGCAGCAGUUUUUAAAUAGAAAAUUCUAACAUUGCGGUGUGAAAAAAGCAAAACCUCCAUGUCCCUUUGUACUUUGUAAAGAGAAGUAGAUGAGCCUUGUAACUUUCCUUCAAAACUCAGUAAACUGGGUUGCUUCUUCUUAGCAGUUUUAUCCGGGGAAAUCUGUUAGUAUUUCCACUGUCACAGCUAUAUGAAGCACAAGAAGUCACAAGUCAUCAUCUCUAAACUAUUUAAGGGCUAUGGUCUGAAAUAAAGUCAGAAGGUAACUGGAAAGGAGAGUAGGUUGCAGAGCAGGCUUCUGAUACAGAGAUUCAGGUGGGCACUUGCUAAAUGGAGGCAAGUUUUCUGCAUUACUUCCAGUCUUACCCCAAAACACCCCCUGGAAGCAGUCCUAGGUAAGAGCUAACCAUGUAAAAUAUUCCCCAGGCAUCUCAGAGAGGAUAUUUCUUUGGCAGCCUCUACAAAUGUGGCAGAAAAGACCAAUGGAAUCCAGCUUCAGCCUCCUUCCAAAUUGCUGAAAGAUGAAGGGAAAAGGUGCCAGGUGGAUUGCCAAGAUAACAAGUCAAAUGAAGACAGCUAGUGUGUUUCCCACAGACAAAUUUAGCCUCAUCUGGGAGGAAGAACAGCAGCACCUCUGGGUCCCUAGGCCAGAGGCCACACAGACUCUUCCUUGGGUAUGUUGAAACAUUUUUAUUUUUUUUAAAUAGAGGGAAAUGAUUUAAUGAGAAUUGCAGACAUUUGACAAAGGCUGAAUUCAUUUUAGUAUAUAUCAUUGUACACAUAUAUAUACCCAAAAAUAUGUACAUACUAUGUAUAACAAAUCUAUUAAGAUAUAUAUGUAUAGAUAUAGAUAUAUAUAUAUACAUAUUCACCUCAGAUAGCUUCUUGCAAGGACUUUAUCUGAGUUAUGGGUGCUAGUCCCAGCUUAGGUAUCCUUUUGCAAACCUCACCUGAGUUUAGCUUCAGCUGUAGCUUGGGCCUUCCUCAUUUUCAGAAUCUGUUGACCAUCUGGAGAGAGACCCAGCUAAUAUGAGCACCGCCUCUGCAGCUGCACCACAAAGCCUGAUGCUCCAGCAGCAUCUGCUCAGCGAGCAAGGGAGCUGCGUGUGGACUGACAUUUGCUUCUAUUGAUUUUUGUAAACAGAGAGAGAGAGAGAGAGUAUGAGAAUUCCAUGGAAUAGCAGGGAGAAAAGGAUAGUAACUUGAGAAAAGGGUAGUAACUCCUCCUAAUCUUUAUCCAAACAUUAAGUUAAUUUAGGGAUGUGGAAAAUACAAUAUCCUGCACUUAGAAACUUCAAAUAUGUGACAAGGAGUUUAAAAAUCAGAAGUGACCGCACAAUGCUGAUCAGAGCUGUCACAGAGGAGUGCAUCUUGGUAGCUUCAUUGGUUUUGUUCAUCUUGAAUACACCAUACCAGUUAUGGCUUUUAUUUUCUGUUACCCAUAAAGUCCCCUGCUUCCUCUCCUAGAAGCUGCUUGCAGCUAAAUCUAGUAACACGCUCACACACCAAAUAUCUAGAAUAUAUUAUCUCAUGCCGAGUUCUUGCUAUCUCUUCUCACUCACCCUAGCAGAGUGAAAUUUGGAUGAGGAACUAGUUAGUCGCAUGUGUUUUUCAGCACUUGCCAACAAGCAGUUACAAUUUCCAGGAACAGUCCUACUUGCAGUCUGUUGUAAAGAUUAACAUAUGGCUCAUUUUCCUGUGCUGGCUGCAGCUGCAGAUAUUGGAGAACAUAACGGGAAAUGCAGAAGGACUCUACGGAUGGUCAGCUGUAUUUCUAUACUCACUCCUGACUUAACAUGUAAUUGAAAAACUGUCUCAUCUUUGUUCUCUGUGGAAAUUACUCUCUGUAUUCACUGGAGAAGUCUGUUGUUGCUUGUAGAUAGAUGCUUCAUGCCAGCAUUCUGCUACUUGGUGUUUUUGAGUACAUCUUAUUAUAUUUGUUGCUUCUACUGUACUGUGUUAUGGGUAGAAUUUUGUGAAAAUAACUACAGUUUCUUUUCAACAUAUGGUAUCCAUAAUGUUAUUUACAUGAUUGAGAAAAUAGUAUCAUAAUUUCUUGUAUAAUGGCUCCACCUAAGUGAUGGUGACAUGCCAAGACCCCAAGGAAACAUUUUCAGAGGAGGUUCAUGUAGUGGGCCAACCAGUCUUUUGAGCUUAAAACUGUGGAAAAAUCAUUGUUAUUUUUCAGACCAAUACAUAUAUAGAUAUCUGCUUUUCAAAAGGCAUAAAGAAAUAACAAGAGAAGCAAGAGAAAUCUUGGAAAAGCACUUGGAUAUACUGUAAGAUAAAUAUACCAAUGUAAUAUAUUUGCUUGAAUUAUGAAUGUUUCCAGUAUUGGGUCAAUUAACUCAGAAUUAACUCGAUUUUUUAUUCUACUUCCUUUCACAUCUGUCUGCUGAAUUGAUAUCUUUAAAUUCUUCUCAGCAAAUUAUGAUUUUAACGUCUCUCCAAUUCAUGUGACAUACCUCUUGAAAUCCUGGCUCUACAGUUCUCUAAUAUUCAUUAAAAUACACUCAAAUACCCUUAUAGGGUAGUUUGCUUCCUGAAGACCUAAUGGUAACAGUAGCAUUAAGUUCUCGCUUUGUUUUAUCAGCCCAUGCUGGGAAAGAGGCUCUAAUGUGAUUCAUCUGCUUGUGUGGUAAUUAAAUGGAAAUUACAUUGAUGGAAGAGGGGUCACAUGCCAAUUUCUCUGCCUUGCACUAAUUUGCACGCUGUUUCAUUGACGCAAUACAAUCCUUUUCUGAAUGGACAUCUCACAAGAGAAACAAAAUGUAUCCUCACUAGCUUUUCUGCCAAAAUUUCCAUUAAAUAUGCUAAUGAGUUGAGG